GACGUAGGAGGCGAGCGUUGUCCGGAUUCAUUGGGCGUAAAGAGCGCGCAGGCGGCUUGGUAAGUCGGAUGUGAAAUCCCGAGGCUCAACCUCGGGUCUGCAUCCGAUACUGCCCGGCUAGAGGUAGGUAGGGGAGAUCGGAAUUCCUGGUGUAGCGGUGAAAUGCGCAGAUAUCAGGGGGAACACCGGUGGCGAAGGCGGAUCUCUGGGCCUUACCUGACGCUCAGGCGCGAAAGCUAGGGGAGCGAACUGG
rnacentral:rRNA from 1 species